rnacentral:rRNA from 1 species
AGCGAACGCUGGCGGCAGGCUUAACACAUGCAAGUCGAGCGGGCACUUCGGUGUCAGCGGCAGACGGGUGAGUAACACGUGGGUGACCUGCCUCUAGCUCUGGGAUAAGCCUGGGAAACUGGGUCUAAUACCGGAUAUGACUCCACGGCGCAUGUUGUGGGGUGGGAAGCCUUGUGUGGCUAGAGAUGGGCCCGCGGCCUAUCAGCUUGUUGGGGGUGAUGGCCUACCAAGGCGACGACGGGUAGCCGGCCUGAGAGGGCGACCGGCCACACUGGGACUGAGACACGGCCCAGACUCCUACGGGAGGCAGCAGUGGGGAAUAUUGCACAAUGGGCGAAAGCCUGAUGCAGCGACGCCGCGUGA